UCUCGUCACGUGACUCGCGAGAUUUUACGAUAAUUUUCACUUCCUCGCACAUGGUCAUGGUGAAUGUGUAUUGAGUUCAGCAUGUUUCUGGUUUACACACAGCUUUCAGGGGGAAAUUAAAUAGUUUUACAAAGCCGAAGGGUUGUCCGACUUACGAUGUAUGAAUUUCAUGUCAUAAGAAAUUGGGUGCGAGCGUCCACCAGGAAUAUUUCGAUCGAAAUACAGAUUUCUCUUGAAUCCGAGAUGUUAUUCAUCAGCUGAUUAUAGAGGAGGAGUUUUGUCAUUGAUGGGAACGAACGUCAUAUUUAUGAUAUUGUGGCUGCAUCACUUUUGUUUGGCAGAGGUAAAAGAGAACCAGUAACACAGAUAAAAGAUGCAGUUCCUAAAAGAUCCAAAGUCAGCAGCGCCUAAGACUAUACUGAUCAUGACUUUGAAUUAUCAGCAUCCAAAACAAUGCAAAUCAAAUACAGGUUUUGUCUGUACAUCUGGCAAUCUUGGGGCAAUACUGGAUGGUUUUAACUAAGAACUGAUCCAGCAUGAAGACCAGCCAUGUGCCUCACCUGUCAUGACAUUAUUAAAGUGCAAUGGUUGUGAAGAAAAUGAAUGGAAACUAAAUGGACUGACAGACAGCAGCAAAGCAAUAUGCCCUCCUUUCUUCAAAGGGGGGGGGGCAUAAUAAAUGUACAUAUAUGUAAACAUAUGACAGUUAAACAUACAAUUUUUCCAAAAACAAAACAGAUGUACCCAAAUGUGUAGAUAUAAAUUAACAAAAAAAUUACAAUUUUGAUUUUUUCAUCACUUGUUGUACACAUUAUCAUACAGGACCCAUUUACUGAGUAUUUUGUCCUUACAUUGAAAAACUU